rnacentral:rRNA from 1 species
CGAGCGAGUCUGCCUUGAAGAUCGGAGUGCUUGCACUCUGUGAAACAAGAUACAGGCUAGCGGCGGACGGGUGAGUAACACGUGGGUAACCUGCCCAAGAGAUCGGGAUAACACCUGGAAACAGAUGCUAAUACCGGAUAACAACAGAUGAUGCCUAUCAACUGUUUAAAAGAUGGUUCUGCUAUCACUCUUGGAUGGACCUGCGGUGCAUUAGCUAGUUGGUAGGGUAACGGCCUACCAAGGCGAUGAUGCAUAGCCGAGUUGAGAGACUGAUCGGCCACAUUGGGACUGAGACACGGCCCAAACUCCUACGGGAGGCAGCAGUAGGGAAUCUUCCACAAUGGACGCAAGUCUGAUGGAGCAACGCCGCGUGAGUGAAGAAGGGUUUCGGCUCGUAAAGCUCUGUUGUUGGUGAAGAAGGACAGGGGUAGUAACUGACCUUUGUUUGACGGUAAUCAAUUAGAAAGUCACGGCUAACUACGUGCCAGCAGCCGCGGUAAUACGUAGGUGGCAAGCGUUGUCCGGAUUUAUUGGGCGUAAAGCGAGUGCAGGCGGCUCGAUAAGUCUGAUGUGAAAGCCUUCGGCUCAACCGGAGAAUUGCAUCAGAAACUGUCGAGCUUGAGUACAGAAGAGGAGAGUGGAACUCCAUGUGUAGCGGUGAAAUGCGUAGAUAUAUGGAAGAACACCGGUGGCGAAGGCGGCUCUCUGGUCUGUUACUGACGCUGAGGCUCGAAAGCAUGGGUAGCGAACAGGAUUAGAUACCCUGGUAGUCCAUGCCGUAAACGAUGAGUGCUAAGUGUUGGGAGGUUUCCGCCUCUCAGUGCUGCAGCUAACGCA